rnacentral:rRNA from 1 species
UACGGAGGGGGCUAGCGUUGUUCGGAAUUACUGGGCGUAAAGCGCACGUAGGCGGCUUUGUAAGUUAGAGGUGAAAGCCCGGGGCUCAACUCCGGAAUUGCCUUUAAGACUGCAUCGCUAGAAUUGUGGAGAGGUAAGUGGAAUUCCGAGUGUAGAGGUGAAAUUCGUAGAUAUUGGGAAGAACACCGGUGGCGAAGGCGGCUCUCUGGCUCGUAACUGACGCUCAGGCGCGACAGCGUGGGGAUCAAACAGG